UUUCCUUUCUUUUGUUCUUUGUAAUUAUUGCUAUUAAUCAGGUGGGAACAAUCAUAGAGUCUCCACUAGAUUUCUUUGAUGGUAGAUUAACAAAGAAAGAAAGGAAGACAUCUCUUGCAGCCGAGCUGCUCUCUGAUCGCACUCUUGGAGCUUACAGGAAGCGCAAGGUUCGCGAAAUAGAAGAGAAAAAUCAACCUGGCGGGAAUAAUAAAUGGAAGAUAAAAGGAAAACACUCGAAAAACCGAGCAAACCAAAGAAGACAUUGAUUUUUAUUUUUCUUCUUUCUUUGUAAACUGAUUCCAUUAUUGAAGAUGCAACUAAACUGUGUGUGUCUAUGUUUCAGGUUUAGAUUUUAGAUCACCAAAGUUCCAACAUUUUUGUUCUGGUGAAAAUGUAAUAUUAUAAUGUUAACUAAGCUAAUAGUAUUAUUUGUUCCUUUCAAGUAAAAGUAUGAUAUAGUUAUCAUGCAUUAUAUUAUAUGAGAUAAAAUGACUUGUAGUUUUGUUAA